UGCAUUCAUUAUAAACUGUCAAUCCAUUUGUUAUAGUUUGGUACCACUCUGGAAUCUUCUGCCUUUUUGCUGUUUUGCUAUAUGGUUGCAAAUAGUUUUUGUGAGGAUGAGAAAGAAAUAAGACUAACUAUUAAUAGCUUUGCAAAUAAUUUGGGUAGAUUUUUUGUUAGUUUUGAAGUCAAAAAACUGACUUUUUUCUUCCCGUUAUUUGACUGCAGUGUCAUCUUUUCUUCUUCUGAAGCUUCGUUUAUUGCCCCAAAGAUAUGGAACUAUUAGAGUCUGUGAACAGGCAUAUAAAUUCUGUUGGAUUUCUCAGUGCCUGCUUUUGUUACAGAUAUUUUGUUGGGUUCAUUAAAACAUAUCUGUUGAAAUGGGGGUUGGUAAGAAGGAAUAGAGGGAAGAGACUACAUUGUCAGUA
rnacentral:lncRNA from 1 species